rnacentral:rRNA from 1 species
AAUGAACGCUGGCGGCGUGCUUAACACAUGCAAGUCAAACGGUAACAGAGGAGCUUGCUCCUGCUGACGAGUGGCGCACGGGUGAGUAAUGCAUAGGUAACGUGCCCCUUAGUCUGGGAUAGCCACUGGAAACGGUGAUUAAUACUGGAUACUCCUUCUUCCUUAAUGGAAGUUGGGAAAUUUUUUAGCUAAGGGAUCGGCCUAUGUUGUAUCAGGUAGUUGGUGAGGUAAUGGCUCACCAAGCCUAUGACACAUAGCGGGUCUGAGAGGAUGAUCCGCCACACUGGUACUGAGACACGGACCAGACUCCUACGGGAGGCAGCAGUGGGGAAUAUUGCACAACGGACGAAAGUCUGACGCAGCAACGCCGCGUGGAGGAUGACACAUUUCGGUGCGUAAACUCCUUUUAUAUGAGAAGAUAAUGACGGUAUCAUAUGAAUAAGCACCGGCUAACUCCGUGCCAGCAGCCGCGGUAAUACGGAGGGUGCAAGCGUUAUUCGGAAUCACUGGGCGUAAAGGGUGCGUAGGCGGUUUGAUAAGUCUGAUGUGAAAUCCUAUGGCUCAACCAUAGAACUGCAUUGGAAACUGUCAGACUAGAAUACUGAAGGGGCAGAUGGAAUUAGUGGUGUAGGGGUAAAAUCCGUAGAUAUCACUAGGAAUACCGAAAGCGAAAGCGAUCUGCUGGGAAGUUAUUGACGCUGAGGCACGAAAGCGUGGGGAGCAAACGGGAUUAGAUACCCCGGUAGUCCACGCCCUAAACGAAGAAUGCUAGUCGUCGGAAAGCUCGUCUUUUCGGUGAUGCAGUUAACACAUUAAGCAUUCCGCCUGGGGAGUACGGUCGCAAGAUUAAAACUCAAAGGAAUAGACGGGGACCCGCACAAGUGGUGGAGCAUGUGGUUUAAUUCGAAGAUACGCGAAGAACCUUACCAAGCCUUGACAUUGAUUGAAUUCACCAGAGAUGGAGAAGUGCCUUUCGAGGAACAUGAAAACAGGUGCUGCACGGCUGUCGUCAGCUCGUGUCGUGAGAUGUUGGGUUAAGUCCCGCAACGAGCGCAACCCUCGUCGUUAGUUGCUAACAGUUCGGCUGAGCACUCUAGCGAGACUGCCUUCGCAAGGAGGAGGAAGGUGAGGACGACGUCAAGUCAUCAUGGCCCUUAUGGCUUGGGCUACACACGUGCUACAAUGGGGCGUACAGAGAGUUGCGAUACCGCGAGGUGGAGCUAAUCUCAUAAAGCGUCUCUCAGUUCGGAUUGGACUCUGCAACUCGAGUCCAUGAAGCUGGAAUCACUAGUAAUCGUAGAUCAGCAAUGCUACGGUGAAUACGUUCCCGGGUCUUGUACUCACCGCCCGUCACACCAUGGGAGUUGAUUUCACCCGAAAUCGGGAAGCAAACCUUCGGGAUGCUACCGCUUACGGUGGAAUUAGCGACUGGGGUG